UGCAGUCGACGCUUUGUGGUUCAACUGAUUUGAAGAGCUUGCUCAGAUAUGACGAUGGACAUUGCAAAGAGUGGCGAACGGGUGAGUAACACGUGGGAAACCUACCUCUUAGCAGGGGAUAACAUUUGGAAACAGAUGCUAAUACCGUAUAACAAUGACAACCGCAUGGUUGUUAUUUAAAAGAUGGUUCUGCUAUCACUAAGAGAUGGUCCCGCGGUGCAUUAGCUAGUUGGUAAGGUAAUGGCUUACCAAGGCGAUGAUGCAUAGCCGAGUUGAGAGACUGAUCGGCCACAAUGGGACUGAGACACGGCCCAUACUCCUACGGGAGGCAGCAGUAGGGAAUCUUCCACAAUGGGCGAAAGCCUGAUGGAGCAACGCCGCGUGUGUGAUGAAGGGUUUCGGCUCGUAAAACACUGUUGUAAGAGAAGAAUGACAUUGAGAGUAACUGUUCAAUGUGUGACGGUAUCUUACCAGAAAGGAACGGCUAAAUACGUGCCAGCAGCC
rnacentral:rRNA from 1 species